rnacentral:rRNA from 1 species
GAUGAACGCUGGCGGCGUGCCUAAUACAUGCAAGUCGAGCGAACAGACGAGGAGCUUGCUCCUCUGACGUUAGCGGCGGACGGGUGAGUAACACGUGGAUAACCUACCUAUAAGACUGGGAUAACUUCGGGAAACCGGAGCUAAUACCGGAUAAUAUAUUGAACCGCAUGGUUCAAUAGUGAAAGACGGUUUUGCUGUCACUUAUAGAUGGAUCCGCGCCGCAUUAGCUAGUUGGUAAGGUAACGGCUUACCAAGGCAACGAUGCGUAGCCGACCUGAGAGGGUGAUCGGCCACACUGGAACUGAGACACGGUCCAGACUCCUACGGGAGGCAGCAGUAGGGAAUCUUCUGCAAUGGGCGAAAGCCUGACGGAGCAACGCCGCGUGAGUGAUGAAGGUCUUCGGAUCGUAAAACUCUGUUAUUAGGGAAGAACAAAUGUGUAAGUAACUAUGCACGUAUUGACGGUACCUAAUCAGAAAGCCACGGCUAACUACGUG